GACGGAGGAUGCAAGUGUUAUCCGGAAUCACUGGGCGUAAAGCGUCUGUAGGUGGUUUAAUAAGUCAACUGUUAAAUCUUGAGGCUCAACUUCAAAAUCGCAGUCGAAACUAUUAGACUAGAGUAUAGUAGGGUAAAGGGAAUUUCCAGUGGAGCGGUGAAAUGCGUAGAGAUUGGAAAGAACACCAAUGGCGAAAGCACUUUACUGGGCUAUCACUGACACUGAGAGACGAAAGCUAGGGGUAGCAAAUGGG
rnacentral:rRNA from 1 species